rnacentral:rRNA from 1 species
CGCUGGCGGCGUGCUUAACACAUGCAAGUCGAACGGUAAGGCCCUUCGGGGGUACACGAGUGGCGAAACGGGUGAGUAACACGUGGGUGAUCUGCCCUGCACUUCGGGAUAAGCCUGGGAAACUGGGUCUAAUACCGGAUAGGACUCCUGGCUUCAUGGUUGGGGGUGUAAAGCUUUUGCGGUGUGGGAUGGGCCCGCGGCCUAUCAGCUUGUUGGUGGGGUAAUGGCCUACCAAGGCGACGACGGGUAGCCGGCCUGAGAGGGUGACCGGCCACACUGGGACUGAGAUACGGCCCAGACUCCUACGGGAGGCAGCAGUGGGGAAUAUUGCACAAUGGGCGCAAGCCUGAUGCAGCGACGCCGCGUGAGGGAUGACGGCCUUCGGGUUGUAAACCUCUUUCAAUAGGGACGAAGCGCAAGUGACGGUACCUAUAGAAGAAGGACCGGCCAACUACGUG